GACGAACGCUGGCGGCGUGCUCAACACAUGCAAGUCGAACGGAAAGGCCCUGCUUUUGUGGGGUGCUCGAGUGGCGAACGGGUGAGUAACACGUGAGUAACCUGCCCUUGACUUUGGGAUAACUUCAGGAAACUGGGGCUAAUACCGGAUAGGAGCUCCUGCUGCAUGGUGGGGGUUGGAAAGUUUCGGCGGUUGGGGAUGGACUCGCGGCUUAUCAGCUUGUUGGUGGGGUAGUGGCUUACCAAGGCUUUGACGGGUAGCCGGCCUGAGAGGGUGACCGGCCACAUUGGGACUGAGAUACGGCCCAGACUCCUACGGGAGGCAGCAGUGGGGAAUAUUGCACAAUGGGCGGAAGCCUGAUGCAGCAACGCCGCGUGCGGGAUGACGGCCUUCGGGUUGUAAACCGCUUUCGCCUGUGACGAAGCGUGAGUGACGGUAAUGGGUAAAGAAGCACCGGCUAACUACGUGCCAGCAGCCGCGGUGAUACGUAGGGUGCGAGCGUUGUCCGGAUUUAUUGGGCGUAAAGGGCUCGUAGGUGGUUGAUCGCGUCGGAAGUGUAAUCUUGGGGCUUAACCCUGAGCGUGCUUUCGAUACGGGUUGACUUGAGGAAGGUAGGGGAGAAUGGAAUUCCUGGUGGAGCGGUGGAAUGCGCAGAUAUCAGGAGGAACACCAGUGGCGAAGGCGGUUCUCUGGGCCUUUCCUGACGCUGAGGAGCGAAAGCGUGGGGAGCGAACAGGCUUAGAUACCCUGGUAGUCCACGCUGUAAACGGUGGGUACUAGGUGUGGGGUCCAUUCCACGGGUUCCGUGCCGUAGCUAACGCUUUAAGUACCCCGCCUGGGGAGUACGGCCGCAAGGCUAAAACUCAAAGGAAUUGACGGGGCCCCGCACAAGCGGCGGAGCAUGCGGAUUAAUUCGAUGCAACGCGUAGAACCUUACCUGGGUUUGACAUGGAUCGGGAGUGCUCAGAGAUGGGUGUGCCUCUUUUGGGGUCGGUUCACAGGUGGUGCAUGGCUGUCGUCAGCUCGUGUCGUGAGAUGUUGGGUUAAGUCCCGCAACGAGCGCAACCCUUGUUCACUGUUGCCAGCACGUUAUGGUGGGGACUCAGUGGGGACCGCCGGGGUCAACUCGGAGGAAGGUGGGGAUGACGUCAAGUCAUCAUGCCCCUUAUGUCCAGGGCUUCACGCAUGCUACAAUGGCUGGUACAGAGAGUGGCGAGCCUGUGAGGGUGAGCGAAUCUCGGAAAGCCGGUCUCAGUUCGGAUUGGGGUCUGCAACUCGACCUCAUGAAGUCGGAGUCGCUAGUAAUCGCAGAUCAGCAACGCUGCGGUGAAUACGUUCCCGGG
rnacentral:rRNA from 1 species